rnacentral:rRNA from 1 species
UACGGGGGGGGUAAGCGUUGUUCGGAAUUACUGGGCGUAAAGGGCUCGUAGGCGGCCAACUAAGUCGGACGUGAAAUCCCUCAGCUUAACUGGGGAACUGCGUCCGAUACUGGAUGGCUUGGAUUUGGGAGAGGGAUGCGGAAUUCCAGGUGUAGCGGUGAAAUGCGUAGAUAUCUGGAGGAACACCGGUGGCGAAGGCGGCGACCUGGGCCAAUAUUGACGCUGAGGCGCGAAAGCGUGGGGAGCAAACAGG